rnacentral:rRNA from 1 species
ACAGCAGCCGCCACGGUAAUACAGAGGGUGCGAGCGUUAAUCGGAUUUACUGGGCGUAAAGCGUGCGUAGGCGGCUUCUUAAGUCGGAUGUGAAAUCCCUGAGCUUAACUUAGGAAUUGCAUUCGAUACUGGGAAGCUAGAGUAUGGGAGAGGAUGGUAGAAUUCCAGGUGUAGCGGUGAAAUGCGUAGAGAUCUGGAGGAAUACCGAUGGCGAAGGCAGCCAUCUGGCCUAAUACUGACGCUGAGGUACGAAAGCAUGGGGAGCAAACAGGAUUAGAGACCCGCGUAGUCCCUGUCUCUUAUAC